UGGGGAAUAUUGGACUAUGGGCGCAAGCCUGAUCCAGCCAUGCCGCGUGAGUGACGAAGGCCUUAGGGUUGUAAAGCUCUUUUGGCGGGGAAGAUAAUGACGGUACCCGCAGAAUAAGCUCCGGCUAACUUCGUGCCAGCAGCCGCGGUAAUACGAAGGGAGCUAGCGUUGUUCGGAAUCACUGGGCGUAAAGCGCACGUAGGCGGACUUUCAAGUCAGGGGUGAAAUCCCGGGGCUCAACCUCGGAACUGCCUUUGAUACUGUUGGUCUCGAGUCCGGAAGAGGUGAGUGGAAUUCCUAGUGUAGAGGUGAAAUUCGUAGAUAUUAGGAAGAACACCGGUGGCGAAGGCGGCUCACUGGUCCGGUACUGACGCUGAGGUGCGAAAGCGUGGGGAGCAAACA
rnacentral:rRNA from 1 species